rnacentral:rRNA from 1 species
GAGUUUGAUCCUGGCUCAGGAUGAACGCUGGCGGCGUGCUUAACACAUGCAAGUCGAACGAAGCACUUUAUUUGAUUUCCUUCGGGACUGAUUAUUUUGUGACUGAGUGGCGGACGGGUGAGUAACGCGUGGGUAACCUGCCCUGUACAGGGGGAUAACAGCUGGAAACGGCUGCUAAUACCGCAUAAGCGCACGAGGAGACAUCUCCUUGUGUGAAAAACUCCGGUGGUACAGGAUGGGCCCGCGUCUGAUUAGCUGGUUGGCAGGGUAACGGCCUACCAAGGCAACGAUCAGUAGCCGGUCUGAGAGGGUGAUCGGCCACAUUGGGACUGAGACACGGCCCAGACUCCUACGGGAGGCAGCAGUGGGGAAUAUUGCACAAUGGGGGAAACCCUGAUGCAGCAACGCCGCGUGAGCGAAGAAGUAUUUCGGUAUGUAAACUUCUAUCAGCAGGGAAGAAAAUGACGGUACCUGACUAAGAAGCCCCGGCUAACUACGUGCCAGCAGCCGCGGUAAUUC